AUUGAACGCUGGCGGCAGGCCUAACACAUGCAAGUCGAACGAGUGGCGGACGGGUGAGUAAUGUCUGGGAAACUGCCUGAUGGAGGGGGAUAACUACUGGAAACGGUAGCUAAUACCGCAUACCAUCGGAUGUGCCCAGAUGGGAUUAGCUAGUAGGGGGGGUAAAGGCUCACCUAGGCGACAAUCCCUAGCUGGUCUGAGAGGAUAACCAGCCACACUGGAACUGAGACACGGGCCAAACUCCUACGGGAGGCAGAAGUGGGGAAUAUUGGACAAUGGGCGAAAGCCUGAUGCAGCCAAGCCGCGUGUGUGAAGAAGGACUUCGGGUUGUAAAGUACGUUCAGAGGGGAGGCGUUACCCGCAGAAGAAGCACCGGCUAACUCCGUGCCAGCAGCCGCGGUAAUAC
rnacentral:rRNA from 1 species